GACGAACGCUGGCGGCGUGCCUAAUACAUGCAAGUCGAACGCAGUGGGGACGGUUGAGUAAAACGUGGGUAACCUCCCAUAUGAGGGGCUAACACUUGGCAACAGGUGCUAAACCGAUACUGAUGGAUGGAGCCGGGGUGCAUUAGCUCGUUGGUGGGGAAACGGCUCACCAAGGCCACGAUGCCUAGCCGGUCUGAGAGGGUGAUCUGCCACACUGGGACUGAGACACGGCCCAGACUCCUACGGGAGGCAGCAGUAGGGAAUCUUCGGCAAUGGACGAAAGUCUGACCGAGCAACGCCGCGUGAGUGAAGAAGGCUUUCGGGUCGUAAAACACUUUUGUUAGAGAAGCGGUACCUAACCAGAAAGCCACGGCUAACUACGUGCCAGCCGCCGCGGUAAUAC
rnacentral:rRNA from 1 species